UCUGUCCUUAUUUCUCCCCUUCAGCUGGAAAUAAAGGGCCAGCCCUCUCUCUGUGCCUUUUUGGGCCCAUCCUCUGCUGCAACCACGGAGACCCUCAGGAGCUGCCGUACUAACUCUCUCUCAGAGAUGACGCCCAGUGAUUACCUGGCUCAAGUCAUCCCAGACCACCCUGAGGUAGAAGGCCUGACUGGGGAGGUAGGGCUGGAGGAGUUGGAGAAAUCUAAGCAGUAUGACCAGAGUGACUUGAGUAACAGUGAAGAGAGUGGUUGGAACAAGAAGAAAACCAAAGUCAACAAGAUCUGGAAUUUUGUGAACCGCAGAAAAGGGGCCUCCAGCCAGAAAAAGCGACCCCAGUCCAUGCUUUUACUGGGAGACACCUCCAGGCUGUCAGAAGUGAAACCUAAAUUCAGGUUCAUGGAUCGAAUGAAGUCAUUCAGGAGGCUGAAGUCUUCUAUUGGGACCUUCAAGUACACUCCCCCUAGGAGCAGCAAGAUCCAGGAGGCACAGGAUACCCCAGAUAUCUAUCAGAUGAGGAAGGCUGAGGAGGCCCCGAAGCCCUUCCGCCAUUCCUAUGCCGGCCCCAUCAAGGGCAUGGAGCCCUUCCUCACAGACAUGCAGGGGCUUGGGCAAGCCUCCAAGAGGGUGAACCAGAAAGUACUGUCCUUUGAUGAGUUUAGCAUCCAUGUGGAGGACGACUCCUGGCAGGAGAAGGUCCCUGAAGAGCUUCAGGGUGAAAGGCAAGGCAGAACCUACCUGAAAAGCAUAUUCCCCAGGGGCUGUGAAGGCCUGAGUACAUGGGCCGAUGAUGCUGAAAUUCUGAAAUUUGAGGCUGCCAUCGAGGACUCCACCUUGGAAGCAGACUUGCAAGGUAGUUAUGAAGGGAACCCUGAACACCGGUGCCGAGAAAAGGCUGCACCAUUGGGCGUCAUCAUCAAAUUCUUUAAUAGUGUGGCUGAGGUGGCCCGCAAGUGGCAGGCAUUCACCCGUGAAGAACCACAGUUGUCCCGCCACCACCAUGAGGCCUGCUUCAGCAGUUGCAGCAAUAGCUUCAUCCGGGAGGGCACUGCCUCCCUGUCCUCCUUACCACUCAACCUGUCCUGCCAGGCCACUGAGGCCUCACUGUGGAAUAGUACCUUGGGAAGGCUUUGGCAACAUCCCCGCCACCUGAAGCCCUCACAGAGCUUAUGCACUUUUGAGAUGAGCAUUGAGGGUGAAGAAACGCUGGACCAGGACCUAGCGGAUCCCUGUAUUGCUGCCACCCCUUCCCCAACCUUUACCAUCUUAGAGUUCCAGGACAACCCAGUGCAGCAGAACAGCCAUGGGCAUGGCAGUCAUAGCCAAAUCUACUGCAGCACCUUCACCAGGGAGCACUCCUCCUCUGAGGAGCUUGAGGAAGACACUGAGACCGUGGUCAGCUUCCUCAAGGAAGACGACAAUGACAGGGAGUUCCCUGAGCUGGGUGUCAAUGCAAGGAGGUUUACCACUGAGGUUGUCAUGGAAAAGCUAGAGGAGAAGCUCAACGAGAUGAAGGGGCAAGAGGCUAGUAGGGGGCCUGAGGUAUCCAGCCCUGUCAGGCAGCCCCAGGAGCCUCAGUUGGAAAUGGGGACAGCAGAGGCAGAGGGCAAAGCCGGCGAGCCCUACACUGGAGUCUGUGGUGCUCAGGCCUUAUCUCCCACAGCUGAACCAUCACCAAGGACUCUGCCACUUAAAAUCCUUCUGGAAAAAUGCCAGUCUCUGCCCGUCUCACAGAGUAUCCCCAUGGAGCUGGACCAAGUGGGCUGGAGGAGACCUAUGAUGCUUUGCUGUGGUAACCUGGACAAGGGCUCCAAGAUGCUAGAAACCCACAAGAACAUUGGUGAAUACUGGAAGUCCCAGGGAUCAGGAAACAAGCCAGUUAAUGAAGUAAGACCCCUCUCUUAGUUUCUUUGGCACUUAACUGUUCUCCAGCACCAUUUAUCUCCUCU
rnacentral:lncRNA from 1 species